rnacentral:rRNA from 1 species
GACGAACGCUGGCGGCGUGCUUAACACAUGCAAGUCGAACGGAAAGGCCCUGCUUUUGUGGGGUGCUCGAGUGGCGAACGGGUGAGUAACACGUGAGUAACCUGCCCUUGACUUUCGGAUAACUUCAGGAAACUGGGGCUAAUACCGGAUAGGAGCUCCUGCUGCAUUGUGGGGGUUGGAAAGUUUCGGCGGUUGGGGAUGGACUCGCGGCUUAUCAGCUUGUUGGUGGGGUAGUGGCUUACCAAGGCUUUGACGGGUAGCCGGCCUGAGAGGGUGACCGGCCACAUUGGGACUGAGAUACGGCCCAGACUCCUACGGGAGGCAGCAGUGGGGAAUAUUGCACAAUGGGCGGAAGCCUGAUGCAGCAACGCCGCGUGCGGGAUGACGGCCUUCGGGUUGUAAACCGCUUUCGCCUGUGACGAAGCGUGAGUGACGGUAAUGGGUAAAGAAGCACCGGCUAACUACGUG